UUAAAAGUAACUUGGUGCCCAUCGGAGA
rnacentral:piRNA from 1 species